rnacentral:tRNA from 1 species
ACCAGGAUGGCCGAGUGGUUAAGGCGCCAGACUUAAGAUCUGGUCCUCAUAAGAGGACGUGGGUUCGAACCCCACUCCUGGUA